rnacentral:tRNA from 1 species
GGUUCCAUGGUCUAGUGGUUAUCAUGUCUGCUUUACACGCAGAAGGUCCUGGGUUCAAUCCCCAGUGGAACCA